UACUUGAGUUAGAGAUUAUGGUAUAGGGGUUUAAAUUUUAGGGAUUGUGGAUUGGGGUUAAGGGUUAAAAGAUUUUAUAGUUAAGAAAUUGUUAAGAACAUAAUAAAUUAUAAUUUGUUAGAAAUUUAUAUUAGAUUUUAGAAGUGUAAUUUGUGUUGUUAAAAUGAAAAUAUUUGGCUGUUUUUUUUAUCAGGGUUUAUGGUAUAGGAUUUAAAUUUUAGGGAUUGUGGUUUAGGGUUAAGAGUUUAUAGUUAAGAAGUUGUUAAACAUAUAAAAAUUUGGUUAGUUAAUUAUAAUUGGUUAAAAAUUUAUAUUAAACUAUUAAAAAUGGAUAAAUAUGGUUAUUAUAAAAAAUAUUAUUUGUAACAUCACAAAAUUUUAUUUUCCUCUAUUAAGUAUUUUUCCCCACACAUUUCCCUUCCUAUUAUUUUUGGCUCUACUUAUUGCCUCCAUUUUCUCAUUUCCCUCCCAAGUAUUUUUGGGUUUAACUCCAAAAUAUUUUGGCCCAAAAUUUGGUUAUCAGUUAAGUUUUUCAUGACGUACGGCACUUAGAAAAAAAAAGACCAAGCUCUUAAACUCUCUCUCAAAAGUCCAAACUUACCGAGUCUUCUUCUCCUCUCUCUCGCCUCGCCUCGGUCAUGUUAUCCGGGUCCCAUGCGAGAGACUGAGGGAAGAAAUACGACUUCUCAAAAAUACUUCACAUCCAAGCAUUGUUAGAUACUUAGGUACUAUAGGGAAGAAUGAGUAACCAAAAAUCUUGAUAGAUUUUUGCCCAGUGGUUCGGUAUCAUCUAUGUUGGAAAAGUUUGGAUCUUUUCCUGAACCAUGCAGUACACAUGUGACUAUUAUUCAGCAGACUUGAAUCAUCUACAUGUUUCUCAGUCUCAUUGAAGAACUUAGUGAUACUGAGUUAUUCUGGGGCCAACGUCCAAUUCAGGCACGGUUUCUUCCCUAUUGUAUUUAUAAGCAGUGGCGGAGCCAAUGUACAAUCAAGGGGGUCAAUUGACCCAUGUCAAUUUUUGAAAAAAAAUAUUUUACUUGUAUUUCCAAAGAAAAAUCUGAUGAAUUUAGCUUAUUGACCCUUGCAAAAUACAUUUGUUAUCACAUUGACUCUUCUAAAAUAAAAUUCUGCCUCC